ACGAACGCUGGCGGCGUGCCUCAAACAUGCAAGUCGGGCGAGCGGAGACCGAACCGUAAGGGGAGGUUGAAGUUAGCGGCGAACGGGUGAGUAACACGUGGGCAAUCUGCCCUUAAGUCUGGGAUAACAGAUCGAAAGGUCUGCUAAUACCGGAUAAUGUCUUCUGGCCGCAUGGCUGGGGGAAGAAAGCCGAAAGGCACUUUUGGAUGAGCUCGCGUCCCAUCAGCUAGUUGGUAAGGUAACGGCUUACCAAGGCGACGACGGGUAGCCGGUCUGAGAGGAUGAUCGGCCACACUGGGACUGAGAUACGGCCCAGACUCCUACGGGAGGCAGCAGUUGGGAAUAUUGGGCAAUGGGCGAAAGCCUGACCCAGCGACGCCGCGUGAGGGAAGAAGGCCUUCGGGUCGUAAACCUCUGUCAUCGGGGACGAAGAAAGUGACGGUACCCGAGGAGGAAGCCCCUGCUAACUACGU
rnacentral:rRNA from 1 species